rnacentral:tRNA from 1 species
GGGCGCGUAGCUCAGUGGUAGAGCGCUUAUCUGAUAAGUAAGAGGUCCUUGGUUCAAUCCCAAGCGCGCCCA